GGUCCUGGUGGCUGAGCAGCACCCUGAGCUUGCUGGAGGCUGCAGAGAGAUGCAAGCAUGAGUUGUGAAGCCUCCGCCUGCUCAGAGUGUGUGAGGACACGUACGUUGUUAUCCACGGAGGCACAGGGGCAUGGAGAGUUUAAGACUAAGCCAUCCUUGAAGUUUUAUUUAGACAAACUCAGUCAAUAUCUUAUCUCCUGCUUUUGCACUUGGCAUCCUGUGGAGUAUAUCUUCUUUAUGUCCGUCUGGUUAAUGGUUUCUGUAAAACCCCUUUGGAUGUGCCUUCAGUUUUAGAAGUCUCAGAAACAAUUAAGCAGCUCUGUUAUAAAAAAGAGCUCAAAUGUUUUUGUCUGGGUCCGAUUCUGAAAUGAUGGUAGCCCUUGCCUGCU
rnacentral:lncRNA from 1 species